rnacentral:rRNA from 1 species
CAGCCGCCGCGGUAAUACGUAGGUGGCAAGCGUUGUCCGGAAUUAUUGGGCGUAAAGGGCUCGCAGGCGGUUUCUUAAGUCUGAUGUGAAAGCCCCCGGCUCAACCGGGGAGGGUCAUUGGAAACUGGGAGACUUGAGUGCAGAAGAGGAGAGUGGAAUUCCACGUGUAGCGGUGAAAUGCGUAGAGAUGUGGAGGAACACCAGUGGCGAAGGCGACUCUCUGGUCUGUAACUGACGCUGAGGGGCGAAAGCGAGGGGAGCGAACAGGAUUAGAUACCCCAGUAGUCCCUGUCUCUUAUAC